AGUAGAACAGGUGGCCGCUGCUGCGAUUUCGCAAGAGCGCAGGAGAGGAAAGUCCGGGCUUCACAGGGCAGGGUGCCAGAUAACGUCUGGCGGAGGCGACUCCAGGGACAGUGCAACAGAAAUGUACCGCCUGCCGGUUCAUCCGGCGGGUAAGGGUGGAAGGGCAGUGUAAGAGACUACCGCCCGGCUGGCAACAGCCGGGGCACAUGUAAACCCCACUCGAAGCAAGACCAAACAGAAGGCAUAUGGCGGCCCGUCAGCCUUCGGGUAGGUUGCUUGAGGCUGCCGGCGACGGCAGUCCUAGAUAGAUGGCCAUC
rnacentral:RNase_P_RNA from 1 species